CCUACGGGUGGCAGCAGUGAGGAAUAUUGGUCAAUGGGGGAAACCCUGAACCAGCAACGCCGCGUGAGGGAAGAAGGUUUUCGGAUUGUAAACCUCUGUCCUCUGUGAAGAUGAUGACGGUAGCAGCGGAGGAAGCUCCGGCUAACUACGUGCCAGCAGCCGCGGUAAUACGUAGGGAGCAAGCGUUGUCCGGAUUAACUGGGUGUAAAGGGUGCGUAGUCGGCUUUGCAAGUCAGAAGUGAAAGCCAUGGGCUUAACCCAUGAACUGCUGUUGAAACUGCAUGGCUUGAGUGGAGUAGAGGUAGGCGGAAUUCCCGGUGUAGCGGUGAAAUGCGUAGAGAUCAGGAGGAACACCAGUGGCGAAGGCGGCCUACUGGACUCUAACUGACGCUGAGGCACGAAAGCGUGGGUAGCAAACAGGAUUAGAUACCCGGGUAGUC
rnacentral:rRNA from 1 species